UACGUAGGGUGCAAGCGUUAUCCGGAAUUAUUGGGCGAAAGAGCUCGUAGGCGGUUUGUCGCGUCUGCUGUGAAAACUGGAGGCUCAACCUCCAGCCUGCAGUGGGGUACGGGCAGACUAGAGUGCGGUAGGGGAGAUUGGAAUUCCUGGUGUAGCGGUGGAAUCGCAGAUAUCAGGAGGAACACCGAUGGCGAAGGCAGAUCUCUGGGCCGUAACUGACGA
rnacentral:rRNA from 1 species